GAAAGCCUGACGGAGCAACGCCGCGUGAGGGAUGAAGGCCUCUGGGCUGUAAACCUCUUUUAUCAAGGAAGAAGAUCUGACGGUACUUGAUGAAUAAGCCACGGCUAAUUCCGUGCCAGCAGCCGCGGUAAUACGGGAGUGGCAAGCGUUAUCCGGAAUUAUUGGGCGUAAAGCGUCCGCAGGCGGUCUUGUAAGUCUGCCGUUAAAGCGUGGAGCUUAACUCCAUUUCGGCGGUGGAAACUACAAGACUAGAGUGUGGUAGGGGCAGAGGGAAUUCCCGGUGUAGCGGUGAAAUGCGUAGAUAUCGGGAAGAACACCCAGUGGUGAAGGCGCUC
rnacentral:rRNA from 1 species